rnacentral:rRNA from 1 species
GGGGAGUCGCCUGUAGUACAGCUAGGUAGUAUCAGCUGAAACUUUCUCUGAAUUCAGUUAUUCUUCCCUUACAACAGCCUUUUACGACCCGAAAGCCUUCAUCACACACGCGGCGUCGCUCCGUCACACUUUCGUGCAUUGCGGAAAAUUCCCUACUGCUGCCUCCCGUAGGAGUAGGGGAAUUUCCGAAAGGCACGAAGGUGGGACGGAGCGACGCCGGGGGGGGAUGAAGGCUUUGGGGCGUAAAGCAGGGUGGAAGGGAAGAAUAAGGAAUUCAGAGAAGGUUUUGGCUGGAGGGGACCUUAGGGAGGGGGAUGGGUAAAUACGUGCCGGGGGAAAAAAAAAAAAA